rnacentral:lncRNA from 1 species
CAGAAAAACGCACUCACUUGUCAAAAUUUCUUAUGAAUUGUUUAUAGAAUUCUUUUCCGCCCAAGUCCAACCUCUCCCCCCUCUCUCUCUCUCUCACUAAGCUACUGUAGUCUAUCUCUCUCUAAACCUCCAUCCAGAUCGUCGGUCAAAAUCUCCUUUCAAGUCCGGAAGGAGUGGCAGUUCAAGCACCAUCUCGCUAAGGAAGGCAAUGGUGACACAAAUCCGGUCAAGAUCUCCUUCAAAAUCUGGCACCCCUUUUAUUUUUGAUUUUAAUAUUUAUUUUAUUUACUACAAUAUAUAUGCCUGCAUAUCAAAAAGAAACAAAUCUAGAAAAACCAUGGGUCCUUGACAUAUGCAUUCUUGGAGGGAUUAACACGGGAUUUAAUGUUAGCCUGGAGGUUUAAAUUUGAGAAAUUGAACUUUUAUAGUUUCAAUGUUAUAUAUUAGAAAUUGGACAAUGCAGUCGGAUAAUGAGAACUUUCCAGGUUGCUAAGCAAACUUCGAAGAAAGCGGGGGAUAGUGCACUUUACUGAAAAUGAACAAAUUAACAUCUUUGUUUCUAACUGUAGCUAGAAUAGCUGUGAAAGGAGUCAAGCAAUGAAACAUCCAAUUACAAAACAAAAAUUUUAUUUUGACGUUCGGCUGGUUCUAUUGCACUCUUCAUUAGAUUUGUUCGAUGGAAGAAAGGAAUAAAGGAAUUUGCCAUAAUUGCAAACAGCCAGGCGCUACUUCCUGUCGGAAUGCUCCAGAAAGAAAAGAAGCCCAAAAUGUGGUGAGAGAUUAUUGAAAUGGAUGGAGGUGGAAAAGAAUAGUGAAAACAAGGGGCAGCCAUUUCAUUGAUGUACUCACUAUUGUUGGCAUUUCAAUGGAUGGACUUGUCAAGCAUGUUAAAAAAUUUGAUCAUAGUUGCCUAGAAAAAGGGCAUGGAGAUUUCCCUCAACAUAACUAUUCGCAAGGGAAAAUGAGAUUCGAAUGAUGAGGAGAAAGGAAAGAAAGGUGUCAAUUAGAUAUAGCCUGGAACUUUGAUGUAAUGGGAUGAUGUUAAUGGUUUCUCUUAGUAUUUGAAUGCAAUUGCUUCUUGAGUUUAAUGUUAGUGGAUUUUUCUAUGUAUGUUUUAUUGUGCUACAAGGUGAACUUCAAUUUCCUUGGCGCUGCAGAAAAAAUUCAGUUUUUGGGUAGAUUACAUGUACAUGUUUACUUCCAUGUGAUCAUUGAUGUGCG